GUUCUUUCAGAAGGUUACCACUGAUUGUGUCACUGUCUUAGCACUAAGUAAAACUGGAAAGUGAUGACAUCAAGACCAAAUGCAGUGCAGCCUUGCAGGGAGGAGUACUUGUUUUUUUCAGUGCGAGAUAAAAGGCAGGGGGUCAGAAACGAGAGUCGUGUCCCAGAAUGCUGAAAUAAAGAAAGGAAAGACAAAAAUUACAUUGGCCUAUGUGAUGACUGGGCUGCAGGAUGAAUUGUAUCAACAAUACCAAAACAAAGACGCAUUGUCUUGAGGAAAACUUCAAAAAGGAAAAAGAAAAGAAAAAGAAAAGAAAAGCCUGAAAGGAUAUAUUACAAGCAGUAUCAUUGUAUCAUUAAACAGGGAGAGGUCAAGCUUUGUUAAUUAGUGUUGUAUAGGUAAGGCCAAAUGUAGCAGCUUAGGGUUGCUUGGUAUUCUGCAGCGCCUUUCAGGUUAGGCGUUCUAAUACAAUGAUAAGUCCUCUCGUGAAAUGGCUACUGUUUUUGUGUUGAUCUGAAAAUGAGCCCAGUUAAAAUGGGCAGUGUUAACUUAGUGCUGUGUCAAGGAGGGUUUGGCUGUGUGGGGAGUCAUCUGUUCCUGGACAGAGGCAAAAUGGUAGUGCUCUCGCCUCUCUGGCAACGUCUUUUUGCAUCUUGGCUUCUGGACCACCGUGUUGGAAGUGACUUCUGUUUGUACAGUUGGAGUAUUCCCUGGUGGGAGCAAGAGGCAAGGGCAGCAUCUAUAAUUAUUGUCACGACGUUGCUUGAGUUGAGCUUUAGCCAGCUGUCCCUGUUUCCUUAAGGGGUUGCCCGUUAAUUGCCCCAUUCUCCAACAGGAAUCCAUAGCAGGUACCUUGUAAAAGGAAGGUAAAAUGCCACAGCAGUUAGCUUCAGUGUCAUAAGCUUUGCAUCUGGUCAGUCUUAUCACAGCGCGCACGUUUGUGCUUCAUCGCACUUCCAUACUGCCUGUAGCUUGCCUUUUAUCUAACACAACAUGUUCGCAAUCUGCUGUGUGCAUAAUAUGGGUGAGGUUAGCUAAUAGAGGAAGAGAGGGUGGGCUUUUAAUUUGCAAGUUCCCAGGGAUUGUUGUGAAGAACAAAGCUGGAGGAAGCAGACUCCUGGUGCUGCACAGAGGUGCUGCGAGGGCCUUUUGAACGUGCAAUUGUUUAUAAUUGUCUUGUUCUGUUUUUAGAGACAGUUGGAAAAGACCUCACAAACCACGUAAUUAAAUUUGCUCCCUUCAGCUCUUUCUUUUUUGACUCCUAUCCCUCUUAUACGUUAAUUAAACAGGAUUUGAAUACUUGUCUACUUUCCUGUGUUUUGUGUGAGCAACCUUACCGUAUAUGUACUGGGAUAUAAACAUUUUUGUCAGUGUUAAAGUCUGUGACCUUUCCUAUGUAAGUGUUAUGAUUAAAAACUUGGACCAAAAUCUGCUUCUGAUUCAGACGCCACCUGUCCUGGUAUUACAGAAAGGUCAGAACAGAUUUGCAGCAGCAGAUGAACGAAAAGCAUUAGAAAAUCAUACAAAGAGAAGUUCGUGCAGAACGUACAGAAUGGCAUCUAUUUUAACUUGUGUUCAAUCUCAAAUAUUUAAAGAAGUGACACUAAUCAGGAUGCAUUCUGGCAAGAUAGUAGGGGAAAAGCAGUGAGAUAGUCAGAGGAAGAAAUCCCUCUGCCUUCACUGAAGAUUAACCCCAUCUGUGUCAGAUGCACCAACAAAUGAUGAGAAAAAGCAUGUUGGGCAGAAAUAGCAGUAAGAGGGCAGUAGAUUACUUGAGAAGUAGCCAAAAAGCUUAGAUUCUAGUCUUAAUUUUAACAGUAUCUUCAUUACUCGGGACAAAUUAUUUAUUAUUUCUAUGCCUUCUUUUUAUUAUUGUUAUAAAAUGAAAGUAGUAUCUGCCUAAAUACGUAAACAAGCAGUUGCAACCAUCUGUGAGAGCCUGUAUAGGUAAGAAGUCCAUGAAAGCACACUGUGGAGGGACAGAGGUGUUUUCUUUGGUCUCAGGAUCACACUGUGCUCCUUCACAUCCCAAAAAUGAGUACAAAGUAGACCCCAGACUUGUGAUGUGUGCAAGGAGUGCAGGUAGAUGUGAAGGCUGUUGGAGCAGCAGGUGUCAGCAGGGAGAGUGGUGUUCUGAGCUGGCCUCGCCACCUGUGAGGAAGUUGGGACCGUCUUGUCGCAAGAUCCCUUUAUCAGGUGGGCAGGAGAACCCCUCUGAGGCCAGACAAGUUGCAAGGCAGUUUGGUUUUAAGAGCUUCUAGGGCUAAUUCUUGGGAAAAUUAAAUCUGUGGUCUCUCUUAGUGUGCUAUCAGACUGGCUGUACGAUAACAGCACUUGGGAAGUGUAGGAUUGUAGACUCAUGAGAUUCAUCUUUGGUUGAGAAGUGGAAGUGCUGCAGCCCUGAGAGCUGGCUGGCUGAUUUUGCAAAGUGAUGUGCAUAGCUAACCACAAACCUAACUUCCAAGCUGCUGAACAAGGGGUAGUAUGCUUGCUACCUGGUGUGGCCAAGCACUCCAAAAAGGCACUGCCUCAGAGAAGUUUGAGGCAACCAUGAAAGCUUGUGGAGGUGAACUAUUAAUGUUGUAUGUGGGUGAGCCUGUACAUACAGUCAGUCUGUAGUUUUCAGUUCUUAGCAAAGGCAUAACAAUUUAGUGGUAUAACAUCACAUAGUAAAGAAGUAAACAUUUAUAACAAUUUCAAAUAUCAGAGAUUAUCCUGUAAAAAAUAAAAGUAUAAACCACCCUAGAAUACAGUUCUUAAGUAUUACAUCCUGUGCCUAAUGGUAGCCUCGCAUUAGUACACCAAAGAAAUUGGAAGAAUGGAUCAUUUUUAGCAUAAAUAUUGUUUGUCUUACUUAUUUCCAAAUAAAUAUUAAAUGAUGGCAUUCACAAUUACAAGUAUGUUCACUGCAUCUCUGAGUUUAAACUCAUAUGAGCAGCACGGGCUUUUGUUGCAGUGUGAGAAUAUAUAUGGCAUAAUUACUCUAGCUUCACUGGGAGGGAAUUAAGCGUGGAAGUGUAGGCUUUUGAAUGGGCCCAUAAACUUUACUGUGGAAAUAUUCUUGACUCUUCUUCCAAACAAUCCAAGAGGCCUUCCCUUCCCCACCCCUCCCCCAUCAAAGUGAGCUUUUGUGCUGUAAACAUCAUCCAUUUGGUUCAAGUCACGUUGUUUCAGUGGAAGAUCCACACACAACAGGGCAGACAUUAGAGCACAAGUCUUACAGGAAGCAGCUGAGAGAGCUGGGUUUGUUUGGUCUGGAGAAGAGGAGGCUCAGGAGAGACCUCAUUGCUCUCUACAGCUGCCUGAAAAGAGGCUGUAACGAGGUGGGGGUUGGCCUCUUCCCAAAGGAGUUGCUGAGGUUGAGGAAUAAGGUGUGGAACUUCUGAAGCUCGCUCUGUUGACAAAGUCACAUGUGGAGGAACUGCACCCUAAAGCAAAAGAUUCAGGAAUGUAGAAAGGCUAGAAUAUCAGCCAUGAAGGGUGUGGGGAAUUGCUUCCAAGUUUAUGUUUGUUUAAUGCUGGAAAGUAAAGUCUUGAUAUAUUUUUUUAUUAUUAGUUGAUUUUAAGAUGCUUAUCUGCUGAACUGUAUUCUUUCAGUUUUGAUGUGUACUCUGGAAUUGCAAAGCAAGCAGUCUGAGCCUGGCCAGUGAGGAGAAGGUAUUAUGGGAAUGUAUUUCAAAUACAAAGCAAAGAGUAGGACAAUGCUGAAAGGAUUGGGAGGGAAGCAGAACAUGGAGGAAGAACAUGAGCAAAGCAAAUGGUAAAAGAACUAGGUAUAAAUGGUCUCUGUUGAUAAUACUUAACAGAAGUGAUGAUCUCAGGAUUUUUUUCUGCAGUGCAGUUACACAGAUAGUGAUAUCCUGAAGGCAAGAAGAAUGCCUAGUGGAAAUCAGACUCGUUCUUCUGCUUGUGGUAGGGAGAACUUCUGUACUGAGUCAGGUGUAUUGGCAUCAGGAAAAGCUGUGCAGAUCCAAGAAGCUUUUUUUUAUCCUCUUUUAAAGGUAGGAGGGAGAAAAUAGGUUACAUAUGUAAUUUGUACUUUGGAGCAUUUUCCUAGUGUGCCAGGCUGCCCAGAAGUGUUGGAGACCUCUCCUUCACAAAAUACAUAAACGGCACAAGAAAUUAAUAGAAGAGAGUAGUAAUUGUGGAGGCAAAUAAAGACAAGGAGGCAAAUAAAGACAGGACUUUCUGUGUACUCUCCCUGAAAAAGCAUCUUAGUGUUUUGGAACGCAUUAUGAAAGAUUACCGGAGGUGCUCUGGAAGUACAUGGUUCUAUAACGAAGAGGAUCUAUAAAAGACAGGAAAGAGCUUUUCUGUUUUGAAGCAGAUCAGAAAGAUCUUAACCUUAGCUGCGGGAGCAGUCUGUUCUCAUUUU
ensembl:lncRNA